AUCUCUUUGGCGCAACGGAGAGAGCCGUUCACUGGGACUGGGGAGCGCGGGUUCGAGUCCCGGCAAGGGAGA